AGAAAAGUUUAAUUCUAGCUUAGAAAUUGGGUUUAAUUUUAUUUUACAUGUAAAUUUUAGUGGGAUUUUUAUUUUUGACUUAGAAAGUUGAAAUAAGCAAAAUUAUUAUUCGCAGUGGAGUAAUUUAAAUAUCAGUGAAAGCUGGAUUUAGGAAUAAUUUUUAAUAUUGACAUAAUUUGUGCCAGCAGUUGCGGUUACACAGAUAAUAUAAUUCAAUUUUUUUGGUUACAGUUAAUUUGUUUUAUAAUUUUAAUUCUGAAUUUAUGGGGUGAAAUCUUAAUUUUGGGUAAAAAUUUAUUUUUGUUAAUGAGGCUGAGAUAUUCUUUUUAAAGACUAGGAUUAGAUACCCUAUUAUUUUGAAUGUAAAUUCUUAUUACCAGGUUAGUAUUAGUUAUGUUCUUGAAAAUUAAAGAUUUUGGCGGUAUUUUAGUCCAUUCAGAGGAACCUGUCCUGUAAUUGAUAGUCCACGAUUAGUCGUACUUUUUCUUUUAGUUUAUAUAUCGUCGUAGUUUGAACAUUUUAUUAGAAUAUAAAUGUUCAUGAUUUUUGGGGAAUGGAAAUCAGAUCAAGGUGUAGCUUAUGAAAAAGAAGAGAUGGGUUACAAUAAAUUUAUUUGGGAAUUAAUUUCUUUAAAGGGAUUAUGAACAUGGAUUUGAAAGUAAUUUUAAUUAUAUAAUUAAUUUGAUUUUGGCUCUAGAAUAUGCACAUAUCGCCCGUCGCUUUCACUCCAAGGUGAAAUAAGUCGUAACAAAGUAGGCCUACUGGAAAGUGGGCCUGGAAAGG
rnacentral:ncRNA from 1 species